CCCAGUGGCCAGAGGCCUAUAUCCUCCAUUAUAUGGAUGACAUCCUUCUUGCUUGUGACAGCGCCGAGGCAGCCAAGGCCUGCUAUGCUCACAUUAUAUCCUGUCUUACCUCAUAUGACAAAAAUUGCUCCAGCAAGGUACAAGUGUCUGAGCCAUUUUCUUAUUUAGGAUUUGAGUUACACCAUCAGCAAGUAUUUACUCCCCGAGUCUGCUUAAAAACUGAUCACUUAAAAACCCUUAACGAUUUCCAAAAAUUACUCGGGGACAUUCAGUGGCUUCGACCCUAUUUAAAAUUGCCCACCAGUGCCCUUGUUCCCCUUAACAAUAUUCUAAAAGGCGAUCC
rnacentral:misc_RNA from 1 species